AGCCUUGGCCUACGGGGUGCGUCGGCUGGACCCAGGCGGACAGGACCUUGGGAGGGAGGGGAGGAGCCCUGUAGGUUCCGCCGAGAGCUACGAGUUUGCUUAGCUCGCAGGACGUCAGAGCUGGUGACGUCCGAUGCAAGGGCCUACGCCACAGCCACAGCAAUGCGGGAUCCGAGUCAUGUCUGCGACCUACACCACAGCUCACAGCAAGGCCAGAUCCUUAACCCACUGAGCGAGGACAGGGAUCAAACCCUCAACCUCAUGGUUCCUAGUCGGAUUCGUUAACCACUGAACCACGACGGGAACUCCGGGCCUACACCACAGCAACACCAGAUCAGAGCCACGUCUGUGACCAACACCACAGCUCAGGGCAACACCAGAUCCUUAACCCACUGAACAAAGGCCAGGGAUUGAACCCGCAACCUCAUGGUUCCUAGUUGGAUUCGUUAACCACUGAGCCACGACGGGAACGCCUCUUUUUAAAUUAUAGUUUUGUCCAGAUAUAUGGAUUGCUGUAUCAUAUGGUAGUUUUAUAUUGCCUUUUCUGAGGAACCCCCAUACUGUUUUCCAUAGUGGUUGUACCAGUUUACAUUCCUCCAGCCGUGCAGGAGGGUUCCACACCCUCUGCAGCAUUUGUUAUUUGUAGGCUUAUGAAUGAUGGCCACUCUGACCAGUAAGAGGUGGUAUCUCACUGUAGUUUUGAUUUGCAUUUCUCUAAUAAUUAGUGAUGUUGAACAUCUUUUAUGUGCCUACUGGCCAGCUGUAUGUCUUCCUUGGAGAAAUGACUAUUUAGGUCUUCUGCACAUUUUUCGAUUAGGUUGUUCGUUCUUUUGUCGUUGAGUUGUAUGAGUUUUGUUUUGUUUUUUUAUAUUUUGGAGGUGAAGCCCUUAUUGGUUGCAUCAUUUGCAACUAUUUUCUUCCAUUCCGUAGGUUGUCUUUUCAUUUUGUUUAUGGUUUCCUUUGAUGUGAAAAAGCUUGUAAGUUUGAUUAGUUUCCAUUUGUUUAUUUUUUUCUAUUGCCUUGGGAGACUGACCUAAUAAGACAUUUGUAUGGUU
rnacentral:lncRNA from 1 species